rnacentral:rRNA from 1 species
CCAGCUCCAAUAGCGUAUAUUAAAGUUGUUGCAGUUAAAAAGCUCGUAGUUGAAAUUCUGAUUGUUCGGGUUUCUAGCCUUUAGGCAGAGAUACCGACAGUCAUCCGCUUGCAAACAUUGCUCGACCUUAAUCAGUUGACUAUGUGAGUAAGCACUUUACCUUGAGAAAAACAGAGUGUUCCAGGCAGGUUUGUCCGGAAUGCAUUAGCAUGGAAUAAUAGAACAUGACUGAAGUCAAUUUAUUGGUUAAAGACUUUAGUAAUGAUUAAUAGGAACAGUCGGGGGCAUUCGUACUCAGCAGUCAGAGGUGAAAUUCUAAGAUUUGCUGAAGACGAACUAAUGCGAAAGCAUUUGCCAAGGAUGUUUUCA